rnacentral:tRNA from 1 species
GCCUCCGUAGCUCAGUUGGUUGAGCAUGGUGUUUGCAACGCCAGGGUUGUGGGUUCGAUUCCCACGGGGGGCC